rnacentral:tRNA from 1 species
ACGGCUGUAGCUCAGAGGAAGAGCGCGACUCUGCGAAGGUCGAGGUCGGCGGUUCGAAUCCGCCCAGCCGUGCCA